CAGCGGGGGCUUCGGCCUGCCGGCGAGUGGCGAACGGGUGAGUAAUGCAUCGGAACGUGCCCAGUCAUGGGGGAUAACUACGCGAAAGCGUAGCUAAUACCGCAUACGCCCUGAGGGGGAAAGCGGGGGAUCGCAAGACCUCGCGUGAUUGGAGCGGCCGAUGUCGGAUUAGCUAGUUGGUGGGGUAAAGGCCUACCAAGGCGACGAUCCGUAGCGGGUCUGAGAGGAUGAUCCGCCACACUGGGACUGAGACACGGCCCAGACUCCUACGGGAGGCAGCAGUGGGGAAUUUUGGACAAUGGGGGCAACCCUGAUCCAGCCAUGCCGCGUGAGUGAAGAAGGCCUUCGGGUUGUAAAGCUCUUUCAGACGGAAAGAAAUCGGGUGGGUCAAUACCCUGCCUGGAUGACGGUACUGUCAGAAGAAGCACCGGCUAACUACGUGCCAGCAGCCGCGGUAAUACGUAGGGUGCGAGCGUUAAUCGGAAUUACUGGGCGUAAAGCGUGCGCAGGCGGUUGUGUAAGACAGGUGUG
rnacentral:rRNA from 1 species